CCUACGGGGGGCGGCAGUGAGGAAUAUUGGGCAAUGCCCGCAAGGGUGACCCAGCAACGCCGCGUGGAGGAUGAAGGCCGGAAGGUUGUAAACUCCUGUUAGAGGGGAAGAAUAGUACCGGUUGGACCGGUAUAUGACUGUACCCUCAGAGAAAGCCCCGGCUAACUACGUGCCAGCAGCCCCGGUC
rnacentral:rRNA from 1 species